rnacentral:tRNA from 1 species
GGUUCAUGGCUCAGUGGUAGAGCUCUUGCCUCGCACAUCUGAGGCCCUGGGUUCCAUCCUCAGACCA